ensembl:rRNA 5S_rRNA 5S ribosomal RNA
UGCCACAGCCAUGUCACCCUGCAGCCCAAGACCGGUUACUCACUGAAGCUAAGCAGGGCUGAGCCUGGUCAGUACCUGGAUGGGAGCCCACUAGGGAACACUGUUGUUGGAAGUGGUGU